rnacentral:lncRNA from 1 species
GAUUACCGAACCAAUUGGAUUUUGAUCUUCUCUAAUCCAACACUUGGAGAGGGUGUUUCUUAUAUCACUCAUAGUAACAUGAAGUCAUCUGACCUCUACAAAAAAAUUCAUGCAAAGACUGACGUAGAUCAGGGGCUUGGAGGUGCUAGCCUACAAGCAACUUCGAUGGCCGAUCUCUUCCUUUUUCUUCAAAUACCUUGAACACUCCAAAGCAAGAG